GUUAAGCGACUAAGCGUACACGGUGGAUGCCCUGGCAGUCAGAGGCGAUGAAGGACGUGCUAAUCUGCGAUAAGCGUCGGUAAGGUGAUAUGAACCGUUAUAACCGGCGAUUUCCGAAUGGGGAAACCCAGUGUGAUUCGUCACACUAUCAUUAACUGAAUCCAUAGGUUAAUGAGGCGAACCGGGGGAACUGAAACAUCUAAGUACCCCGAGGAAAAGAAAUCAACCGAGAUUCCCCCAGUAGCGGCGAGCGAACGGGGAGCAGCCCAGAGCCUGAAUCAGUGUGUGUGUUAGUGGAAGCGUCUGGAAAGGCGCGCGAUACAGGGUGACAGCCCCGUACACAAAAAUGCACAUACUGUGAGCUCGAUGAGUAGGGCGGGACACGUGGUAUCCUGUCUGAAUAUGGGGGGACCAUCCUCCAAGGCUAAAUACUCCUGACUGACCGAUAGUGAACCAGUACCGUGAGGGAAAGGCGAAAAGAACCCCGGCGAGGGGAGUGAAAAAGAACCUGAAACCGUGUACGUACAAGCAGUGGGAGCACGCUUAGGCGUGUGACUGCGUACCUUUUGUAUAAUGGGUCAGCGACUUAUAUUCUGUAGCAAGGUUAACCGAAUAGGGGAGCCGAAGGGAAACCGAGUCUUAACUGGGCGUUAAGUUGCAGGGUAUAGACCCGAAACCCGGUGAUCUAGCCAUGGGCAGGUUGAAGGUUGGGUAACACUAACUGGAGGACCGAACCGACUAAUGUUGAAAAAUUAGCGGAUGACUUGUGGCUGGGGGUGAAAGGCCAAUCAAACCGGGAGAUAGCUGGUUCUCCCCGAAAGCUAUUUAGGUAGCGCCUCGUGAAUUCAUCUCCGGGGGUAGAGCACUGUUUCGGCAAGGGGGUCAUCCCGACUUACCAACCCGAUGCAAACUGCGAAUACCGGAGAAUGUUAUCACGGGAGACACACGGCGGGUGCUAACGUCCGUCGUGAAGAGGGAAACAACCCAGACCGCCAGCUAAGGUCCCAAAGUCAUGGUUAAGUGGGAAACGAUGUGGGAAGGCCCAGACAGCCAGGAUGUUGGCUUAGAAGCAGCCAUCAUUUAAAGAAAGCGUAAUAGCUCACUGGUCGAGUCGGCCUGCGCGGAAGAUGUAACGGGGCUAAACCAUGCACCGAAGCUGCGGCAGCGACGCUGAUGCGUUGUUGGGUAGGGGAGCGUUCUGUAAGCCUGUGAAGGUGUGCUGUGAGGCAUGCUGGAGGUAUCAGAAGUGCGAAUGCUGACAUAAGUAACGAUAAAGCGGGUGAAAAGCCCGCUCGCCGGAAGACCAAGGGUUCCUGUCCAACGUUAAUCGGGGCAGGGUGAGUCGACCCCUAAGGCGAGGCCGAAAGGCGUAGUCGAUGGGAAACAGGUUAAUAUUCCUGUACUUGGUGUUACUGCGAAGGGGGGACGGAGAAGGCUAUGUUGGCCGGGCGACGGUUGUCCCGGUUUAAGCGUGUAGGCUGGUUUUCCAGGCAAAUCCGGAAAAUCAAGGCUGAGGCGUGAUGACGAGGCACUACGGUGCUGAAGCAACAAAUGCCCUGCUUCCAGGAAAAGCCUCUAAGCAUCAGGUAACAUCAAAUCGUACCCCAAACCGACACAGGUGGUCAGGUAGAGAAUACCAAGGCGCUUGAGAGAACUCGGGUGAAGGAACUAGGCAAAAUGGUGCCGUAACUUCGGGAGAAGGCACGCUGAUAUGUAGGUGAAGCGACUUGCUCGUGGAGCUGAAAUCAGUCGAAGAUACCAGCUGGCUGCAACUGUUUAUUAAAAACACAGCACUGUGCAAACACGAAAGUGGACGUAUACGGUGUGACGCCUGCCCGGUGCCGGAAGGUUAAUUGAUGGGGUCAGCGCAAGCGAAGCUCUUGAUCGAAGCCCCGGUAAACGGCGGCCGUAACUAUAACGGUCCUAAGGUAGCGAAAUUCCUUGUCGGGUAAGUUCCGACCUGCACGAAUGGCGUAAUGAUGGCCAGGCUGUCUCCACCCGAGACUCAGUGAAAUUGAACUCGCUGUGAAGAUGCAGUGUACCCGCGGCAAGACGGAAAGACCCCGUGAACCUUUACUAUAGCUUGACACUGAACAUUGAGCCUUGAUGUGUAGGAUAGGUGGGAGGCUUUGAAGUGUGGACGCCAGUCUGCAUGGAGCCGGCCUUGAAAUACCACCCUUUAAUGUUUGAUGUUCUAACGUUGACCCGUGAUCCGGGUUGCGGACAGUGUCUGGUGGGUAGUUUGACUGGGGCGGUCUCCUCCUAAAGAGUAACGGAGGAGCACGAAGGUUGGCUAAUCCUGGUCGGACAUCAGGAGGUUAGUGCAAUGGCAUAAGCCAGCUUGACUGCGAGCGUGACGGCGCGAGCAGGUGCGAAAGCAGGUCAUAGUGAUCCGGUGGUUCUGAAUGGAAGGGCCAUCGCUCAACGGAUAAAAGGUACUCCGGGGAUAACAGGCUGAUACCGCCCAAGAGUUCAUAUCGACGGCGGUGUUUGGCACCUCGAUGUCGGCUCAUCACAUCCUGGGGCUGAAGUAGGUCCCAAGGGUAUGGCUGUUCGCCAUUUAAAGUGGUACGCGAGCUGGGUUUAGAACGUCGUGAGACAGUUCGGUCCCUAUCUGCCGUGGGCGCUGGAGAACUG
rnacentral:rRNA from 1 species